CCUACGGGAGGCAGCAGUAGGGAAUAUUGGGCAAUGGGCGAAAGCCUGACCCAGCCACGCCGCGUGCAGGAAGACGGCCCUCUGGGUUGUAAACUGCUUUUAACUGGGAAGAAAGAAGCCUAUGCGUAGGAAGUUGACGGUACCAGUUGAAUAAGCCACGGCUAACUACGUGCCAGCAGCCGCGGUAAUACGUAGGUGGCGAGCGUUAUCCGGAUUUAUUGGGUUUAAAGGGAGCGUAGGCGGCUAAUUAAGUCAGUGGUUAAAGGUAGCAGCUUAACUGUUUUACAUGCCAUUGAUACUGGUUAGCUUGAGUUGACGGAAGGCAGAUAGAAUUUCUGGUGUAGCGGUGAAAUGCUUAGAUACCAGAAGGAAUACCGAUUGCGAAGGCAGUCUGCUGCAGUCACACUGACGCUGAGGCUCGAAGGUGCGGGGAUCAAACAGGAUUAGAUACCCUGGUAGUCCGCACAGUAAACGAUGAUUACUAGAUGUUGGCCAAGCCAGUGUCCAAGGGAAAACCGAUAAGUAAUCCACCUGGGGAGUACGCCGGCAACGGUGAAACUCAAAAGGAAUUGACGGCNGAGACGNGCGAGACGACACGAGGGAGAG
rnacentral:rRNA from 1 species